rnacentral:rRNA from 1 species
CCUACGGGUGGCAGCAGUGGGGAAUCUUGCUCAAUGGGCGCAAGCCUGAAGCAGCGACGCCGCGUGCGGGAAGAAGGCCUUCGGGUUGUAAACCGCUUUCAGGAGGGACGAAGCCACUCGGGUUAAUAGCCCAGAGGGUGACGGUACCUCCAGAAGAAGCCCCGGCUAACUACGUGCCAGCAGCCGCGGUAAUACGUAGGGGGCAAGCGUUGUCCGGAUUUACUGGGCGUAAAGCGCGUGUAGGCGGCCAGGUAGGUCGGUUGUGAAAACUGGAGGCUCAACCUCCAGACGUCGACCGAAACCAUCUGGCUAGAGUCCGGAAGAGGAGAGUGGAAUUCCUGGUGUAGCGGUGAAAUGCGCAGAUAUCAGGAAGAACACCGAUGGCGAAGGCAGCUCUCUGGGACGGUACUGACGCUGAGACGCGAAAGCGUGGGGAGCGA